UUAUCCGGAAUGAUUGGGCAUAAAGGGUGCGUAGGUGGCAGAACAAGUCUGGAGUAAAAGGUAUGGGCUCAACCCGUACUGGCUCUGGAAACUGUUCAGCUAGAGAACAGAAGAGGACGGCGGAACUCCAUGUGUAGCGGUAAAAUGCGUAGAUAUAUGGAAGAACACCGGUGGCGAAGGCGGCCGUCUGGUCUGUUGCUGACACUGAAGCACGAAAGCGUGGGGAGCAAAUAGGAUUAGAUACCCUAGUAGUCCACGCCGUAAACGAUGAGAACUAGGUGUUGGGGGAAUAACUCAGUGCCGCGGUUAACGCAAUAAGUUCUCCGCCUGGGGAGUAUGCACGCAAGUGUGAAACUCAAAGGAAUUGACGGGGGCCCGCACAAGCGGUGGAGUAUGUGGUUUAA
rnacentral:rRNA from 1 species